rnacentral:rRNA from 1 species
GUAACAGGAAGCAGCUUGCUGCUUCGCUGACGAGUGGCGGACGGGUGAGUAAUGUCUGGGAAACUGCCUGAUGGAGGGGGAUAACUACUGGAAACGGUGGCUAAUACCGCAUAACGUCGCAAGACCAAAGAGGGGGACCUUCGGGCCUCUUGCCAUCAGAUGUGCCCAGAUGGGAUUAGCUAGUUGGUGAGGUAACGGCUCACCAAGGCGACGAUCCCUAGCUGGUCUGAGAGGAUGACCAGCCACACUGGAACUGAGACACGGUCCAGACUCCUACGGGAGGCAGCAGUGGGGAAUAUUGCACAAUGGGCGCAAGCCUGAUGCAGCCAUGCCGCGUGUAUGAAGAAGGCCUUCGGGUUGUAAAGUACUUUCAGCGGGGAGG